ACUUUCUGGAGGACUGAGUUUUGAAAUCAGUAGAAUUCGAGUAUGAUAGCUAAGGAGAUGGAGAAAACAUCAGUCUGGAUUACAUAUUCAAACUAAGGGCAACCAUGCAAUGCAACAGACAGGAGACCAUCCAACCAUGAUGUACGAUGUCUAAAAAGCCCCAUAAGCCCAUAAGGGAGUGCGUACAUUUGCCACCACAGGGGUUUGGCCUGCCGAUGCGGGCAAUAGGCCAGCUCCGAGGUGGUAUAACCUUUCAUAGAUAGAGAAUUGUCAAAUGCAGGUCCGUGGACAACUCCUCCAGGGGAUUCAGAGAUGAUGUGUUUGUGGAUUUCACCCCCAGAACAGGUCUCUACCAGUGGACCUACUGGACCAGUACCUACAGCUCCACCAGUGCCUGUGUCUGCUGUACAGGCUCCUUCAUUGACGACUGCAUUGAAUUUGUCAAUGCAUCAGUAGAACAAGUCUGACUCCUCCACCAGUCAUACAAGGAGAAUGGUCUAAUGCCUCCCAUUAAAAAGAGAGCAUGCGCAAGCAAUCACAGGUUACACCUGAAGCAUAAGGACUUGCAGCGAAUUGUGAACUUCAUGAACAACUACAGUGGGGAGAACAAGUAUUGGAUGCACUGCCGAUUUUGCAGGUUUUCCUACUUACAAAGCAUGUAGAGGUCUGUAAUUUUUUAUCAUAGGUACACUUCAACUGUGAGAGACGGAAUCUAAAACAAAAAUCCAGAAAAUUACAUUUUUUGUUUGAUCACAAAGCAAACCCUCCUAGUGUAUCUGUUUGGAAUACCCAAGCUCUUAUCAUUGAACAAUUCUAAGCAUUUUUAGAAUACCAAAUCAAAGAUAUCUUAAAACAUUCCCCCCAAAUACGAGAAUAAAGACUACCAACCUUUUCUUUAGACUGGGAAAAGCAAUGUAUUUUGGAUCUCGUCACCACCUCUGUCGUGUACCAGUUCGCCCCUGGCCUGAAAUUGACCCUCAACUCAGAGGUCAGGUCUUUGUCUCAGCAAUAAUAGUUUUCAGAGCCCUCUACUGUUCUCUCUACCCAUCC